AAAAGUCAGGUCACACUCGUGACAAGUGUUAUGAUAUUCAUGGGUAUCCUGAAAGAAAUUAGAAAUGACAUCUAAAUGGACGUCAUAAUCAUCACCAAAGGGGAGGAAGACAUGCUAAUAAUGCCAACUCUGCUGCCAAUUCUUCUCACUACACUUCACAGUCGAGAGGAACACCACCUUUACCUGCUCUCUCUCCAAGUCAAUAUCAGCAACUUCUGUCUUUACUAAGCAUUGAUUCCUAGCCAUCCAAUGCAAAAUUUGAAGGACUUGACCUCGAGGAGGCUGAUUAGAAUAGAGGAAAUGCGUGAUGGACUUUACUACUUCACCCAACUGCCUGUUGCUGCCGCAGUGACAAAGCCAACUAUUAUAUCUCCUCUCAUUUGGCACAAAAGGCUUGGUCAUCCAUCCCGAAAUAAGCUUUCUAGUUUUCAUCUGAGCUAUGAUUAUCUUUUUUCAUUUUCUUCAUGUGAUGUUUUUUUUUGUGAUAUUUGCACUAUUGCAAAACAAUCUCGUUUUCCUUUUCCCUCUAGUUCAAGUAAAUGUGACGUUCCUUUUGAGUUAAUCCAUUGUGACAUUUGGGGA